ensembl:rRNA 5S_rRNA 5S ribosomal RNA
GUCUACAGCCAUACCAUCCUGAACACACCCGAUCUCGUCUGAUCUUGGAAGAGGAAUAGCCGCUACUGAGAGACAUCAGUCAGAGGCAGAGA